AAAGUACCAGGAGCUGCUUAAUACAGUGCCAGAAUUUGUGUGAAGUUGAAUAAUCCAAGGAAUUUGUCUUUUAGACUAAGCUUAAGAAAACCAGAGCUUUAUGCUUAGAUCUAAUGUUACUGUUUCACAAAUACGGAGUUUCCUGUAUGGAUAGUUAUAUACACAUGAACACUGAUGCAUGCAAUCCAUCUACACUUAUGUAUGCCAUUAUUUUAUAUGGAAGAUUAUGCUGGAAAACAGAAGUUACAACCAUUUUCUUUCACAAUUUUUGAGCUUCUGUCAGUAUCAGAUUACACUAUAUUUUGUGUGGGUGUAGAAAUAUAAAUGACCUGAAACACUGUGCAGUAUCAGAAUUGAGAAAUGUAUGGAACCAUUGAUAAUAGAGUAAUUUUUCAUCUUUGUGCUGUAUUUUCUAGAUGUUUUCAUUAACUGAGCAGCAUUAUUAUUAGCAUCAGUUUAGUUAUCCAGGAAAGAUUUGAUGAUGCCUCAGUAAGAUACUACGUUGAGCUAUUUAAGGAUGUCAAACUAGAAUCCUCCACAAGCACAGAAUUUAAUUGACCUAAGAGUGUGAAUUUUAAAACUACCAUUCAAGAUGCUUUUAUUUUGGCUCAAUGUAAAUAAUGGCGUUCCUCAAUUUUUCUUCUUUUUUUUUUUCCUUCCUUUUUCCUCUGAACACUCCACAUCCACUCUAAGAGUGUUAUACAAAUGCCAAGGGAGAGAAUGGUGUAGGAGAAUUUGCAGAUGUAAAGGAAAUACCCAAUGAUGAUGAACAUCUUUUAGAUUUUAACAUGGUUUCUUCUGUUUAUGAAGCAAGAUGUGCAGAUGAUAUAAACGCUGAAGCAAAACCAAAUGGCUUCAGGAAGAAGAUCUACUCCAGUGAUAGCUCCAGCUCUGAAGACACAGCUUCAGAAGGUGGCAGUGAAUGGGCAGAUCCGUGUGAGGAGGAGCUUUUUUCUCGAACUCAACUAUAAAAACUGCAGAGUAGGACGGAUGAUUUAAAAGUAACGUGAGGUGGAAAACUAUCCUUCUUGAGGGUCUGUAGCUCUAAAACAACAACUUGAGUUUCCUCUUCAGUUAAUGGAUUCAGAUGUGUAUUUAUCUUUCUCUUCUUGCUUAUUUUAUAGAUGAGGACACAGCUGUCCUGUUGAAGAUUUUUUUCACCCCCAAACUGUUAAAUUCUUGGCUAUUUGAACUAGACUAGAUUGUGUUGUUAAAUCAAGAAUGGAUGUGCAUGUGCUUGUCUUAGUAGUACCACUGCUUUUUUGCAUCUUAAUUGCAGUUAUUUUCAUUCGUAACUGUAGCCCUACCACUACUGCUAUCUUCUUAGCAUCGCAGUGUCUACAAGUACUUCUGCUAUUCAGAGACUUUAGCUUUUGGCACAUUAGGCUUUGUUCUUUAAGAACCGGGAGAUAAAUACUUAACACUGUAAUCUAUCAGUGCCUUUCUGAAUGCAGGAGAAAAGCAUGAAUGACUUGUCCAGUCUUCAUUCAGUAAAUCUCAUAACUUUGAAGUAGGAACAACAGGGUUGUGCUUUAGAGACUUACAGAAACUGUGUUUUCUAUCCUAUGAUUCCCUUUCUCCCCCCUUCCCCCCCGCAAACCAACGCUGAGGUUACCAUGGUUUGUAUUUUUGCUAACUGGAGUAGCCAAGGAUUUUUUGUAGGUAUGGAGGCAAUGUGGUUUUUUCUUUUUUCUUUUUUUUUUUUUUGUUCCUUUUUAGCAACUUGCCAACAUAGGGCAGUUUAAAAAGAAGUAACACCAAAAAUAAUAAACCACUGGGGUGAUGUGUGGAUUGUUUUGAAUUUUGUAACAAGUAAUGAGGAUGUUGUCUUGUUGCAAAUGAUGGCAUUCUUGUAACCUGCAAAAGCAUUCAAGACUGAAUUUGAGCCUGAAUGACUGAAACUAUCGAAAAUGCUCAGUGUGUUCAGUGUUUUAAAUGCAAAGGGUCAGUGCUUCACUUGAGAGAAAUCCUGUGGCUGCUGCAGUUAGCUGCUGUUGUGGCUGUAAUUUAGUAAAUCUCGUAGUUCAUUUUGUGUUUCUGAGAGAAUGUGUGGGGCAAGUUACGUGUGUGGUGGGUGGGGGUAGGGAAAGCGAUGAUUUACAACAUACAUGUGUGAUUGCAGUAGUGACUGUUGCUUUAUGUGACUUGCUUUUCAAUUUUAUUUUGUUAACUUAGAAAGUCAAUACAUUGUCAAGUUGCAUCUGUACAAAACUAUCAACUCCUUGUGCUUUUAACACAUUAUGCAAAAUGUAUAAGCCAGGAGGAGCAAUAUUUGCAAAACUAAACAUUCUUAGUUUUCACCAACUCGUAGUUAAAAACCAACAACGAAGAACUAAUUAUACAGUAGCAGCAUGUCUAUAACAUCAGAAAGUGCAGAAAGUCCAAUAUUGACUUGAAAAGCUUAACCAUUAAUUUUGACAGGCAAUAAAACUCAUGAGAACUAUAGCUGUUUGAAACGUGAGCUGAACUGGCUUUGAAAUAUGUUCUGUGCUAGAAAGGUUUUCUGAAUAACUGGGUUUGGUUGCCUUUAUUAAAUUGAUAGCAUAUGAAUUGAAACGCGUGGUUAAAAAACCAUGCCAUACUUUGUGCAACAUUUUAGUUGAGUUCCUUACCUAAUAUUGGCUCGGUUUGUCCUUACCCUGGGACUUUGUUUUGGUCCUCCUAUUGAGCUAUGUUUUAGGGUUUGUAUUUAUACAACAAAUCUUUUGACACUUUACAGUUUCUUUUCUUAAUUUAUUUGCAGACUUUGGAGAGAUUUUUAUAUAUUUUACUUUCUUCUGGAGCUUCCUUGAGAGCUUGUUUAGCACCUGCACUGAGAACUAGUUAACUGUAACAUGAAAGUAAACAAGAACUUACACGUAAAUUCUUCAAAUCACUACAGUGAAGAAUGGAAUAGAACUUCAUUCAAGAACAAGAAAUGACCAAAUGGACAUAUUUCAAACACAAACUUCAGCUCAGUUAAUUUUGGCUAGAGCUGCUUCUUUGGUAAGAAAGGGCUCAAAAAUCACAAAGGUGUUGCUUAUAGUUACAUUGUGGUAUGUAAUAAUUCCAGCACCUUUGGGGAAAAUAAAAUCGUAUUUUGAGCUUGGGCAAUAACAAAUUGUCUUUACUUGUUUUCAUAGUUUACUGGCUAAAGCUCUAAAGCUUUCAGUGAGAAGUGAAGUGUGGUUUUUAGUUUUUCUGUAUGGAUAGAAACACAAACAAAACAACAACAAAAAGCAUUAAAGGUUGGCAUACGCUGAACCGCACUGUGGUAUGAAGCGCAUUGCAUAUCCAUAGCACUGAAGUAUCAGUUUUCCAUUCCUGGGCUGAAAUUUGUUUCUACUUUUUGCUUCAAGUGGUUGUAUUGUUCUGAUUUCACGUACACCAGAGUAACUGAUUUUGUUUUCUUGUGGAGUUACUUAACACCAAAUAAAAAUAUAAAAGGACAA